rnacentral:rRNA from 1 species
UACGGAGGGGGCAAGCGUUGUUCGGAAUUACUGGGCGUAAAGGGCGCGCAGGCGGCUGCUCAAGUCAGGCGUGAAAGGCCUGGGCUCAACCCGGGAAUUGCGCUUGAGACUGGGCUGGCUUGAGUGCGGGAGAGGAUGGUGGAAUUCCCAGUGUAGAGGUGAAAUUCGUAGAUAUUGGGAAGAACACCUGAGGCGAAGGCGGGUUGCUGGGCUGACACUGACGCUGAGGCGCGAAAGCCAGGGGAGCGAACGGG